GGAAUUUUCCGCAAUGGGCGAAAGCCUGACGGAGCAAUACCGCGUGAGGGAUGACGGCCUGUGGGUUGUAAACCUCUUUUCUCAAGGAAGAAGUUCUGACGGUACUUGAGGAAUAAGCAUCGGCUAACUCUGUGCCAGCAGCCGCGGUAAUACAGAGGAUGCAAGCGUUAUCCGGAAUCACUGGGUGUAAAGCGUCUGUAGGUGGUUUAAUAAGUCAACUGUUAAAUCUUGAAGCUCAACUUCAAAAUCGCAGUCGAAACUAUUAGACUAGAGUAUAGUAGGGGUAAAGGGAAUUUCCAGUGGAGCGGUGAAAUGCGUAGAGAUUGGAAAGAACACCGAUGGCGAAGGCACUUUACUGGGCUAUUACUAACACUCAGAGACGAAAGCUAGGGUAGCAAAUGGGAUUAGAUACCCCAGUAGUC
rnacentral:rRNA from 1 species